rnacentral:misc_RNA from 1 species
AAACAACUCAUGCCUGUUAUCUACCUUUGUUUUGUUUUAACUUGAUCAAAAUAACUACAGAUAACAAAGAGGAUGUGACCAAAUUAAUACACAUGGAAUACCCAAAGAAAAAAGUACAGAAUAAGACAUGUCUCUAAGCUAAGGGUUUGACCACAAUGUCUUCGUCUUUGUUCCUUGCAUUAGGAUUGUGCCUGAAAAUCCAUCUCCAACUCUUGAAACUUUUCCCGCUCCUUAUGAUUCCUCUGUCACUAACUGUGAUCCUACAUGAACCUCCAUUAGUGAACAGCGCAUCUCCCAUAAGUGUCCCAAAAGGGCCUCCACAUUGAUCCUGUGUCAGAAAAUCACCGCCCCUCAUGCUACCAAAAGCAGAAUAUGAAUCUGACAAAGCACCACCAAUCUUCGCACAAGGUAAAUCUGCUCUGGACUCUGACGGCAAAUCAAACUUGAGGUCAAUGAAGGCUGAAUCAUCCAUAGUAGUAAAGUUGCCUUCUCUAAGUGAAAACACACGUCUAGUGUUUUCUCCAUUAAAACCAGGAUCAAGCUUUUUGGGAUCUGAAACACUAGUGUCUUUCUUUUCAACGUCGAAGCCACUUUUUCUUGGCUCUGCUUCACUGGAGCCGCUUUUUCUAUCAGGAUCAAAGAGCAGACCACCAUUGACACCAGAAUUCCUAGCUGCGGAAAUGGAACUCCUAGCAGCUGAAAUAGAACUCCUAGCACCAGAAAUAGAACUCCUAUUACCAGAAAAGGUACCAUCUUCAGAACCAAAAAAGCCACCGCCUCUGAAACUGCAUAGAGACCUGGACCUGGAAACGCUCAUGUCAUCAACAACCCAAAGAUCACUUUUUUCUUCGAAACCGCCAACACUGCUUCUCUCACAACCCUUUUCCCUUUUCUUGCUAAACAGCUUGCUAAUCCUCCAAAACCUACCUUUCCUCUUUAUCUCAACACAGCUACUACUGCUUCUCUUAAGCAAGAAUACUUCAUCUGCUUUUUCUCCACUAGUUUUGGGCUUAGAAUUUGAAUGGGAAAAAACUUCACUUUUUUUAUCUUUUUCUAUCAAGAAUGAAAUGAGACCAACACUGCCUACCUCAACAGUACAGGAAUUGUGAUUGGAAGAGAUCUCAGAACAAGAGCAAGAAGAAAGCCUUUGUUCUCCACAGUCUGAGCAGACCAGCUUGACUAAACGAUCUUUGAGACAAUAAGCACAUAUACCAACUGAAGAAGAUGAUGGGUGUUUCUUGCAUGGAAGAUCAGAUGAUAAGAUGCUGCAAUCUUGGAACAGGUCAUUGCUGUACAUCUCCACAGCUUUGCCUCUCUCUCUCAUAGCUUCCCAAAACUCCAAGGAAAGAAAAUGUUACUACCAGGUUUUUGAAGACCAGAUUAUGAAAGAAAUAAGAUGCAGAAGGAUCUAAUUAAAUAGCUGAGCAAUGAGCGUAGAAAGAUCAAAUCAAAUAUUGCAUUCAAGUCGCUCUAAUGAGUAAAAAU